AUUUUGUUGAUGGGCUGUCAGGAUAGGAGUGGAUCCCAGGGGCCUGGCUGUGGUCUCCAGCCUCACCAUGAAGUCACCAUGUGACCCCAGAGAUGGGGGUCUUACUAUGUUGCCCAGGAUGAUCUUGAAUUCCUGGCCCCAAGUGAUCCUCCCACUUCAGCCUUUCAAAGCACUGGGAUUACUGAGCCGCUGCAUCUGGCCAGUGCAGGUAUCUCUGUAAGAGGGAGGCAGCGGGCCAUUAGACACACCGAGGAGAAGGCUGUGUGAAGAUGGAGCAGAGAGAGAUUUGAAGAUGCUGGCCUCAAAGACUGGAGUGAUGCAGCCACAAGCCAAGGAAUGCUGGUGGCCACCAGAAGCUGGGAGAGUCCAGGAACUGAUUCUCCCCUGGAGCCUGCAGCAAGUGCACAGCUGAGCAAUAUGGAGUUUAGACUUCUGGCCUCCAGAACUGUGAGAGAGUAGAUUUCUGUUGUGUUAGGCUACCAAGAGUUUGUGGUAAUGCCAGCAGCCAUUGGAAAUGCAUACACUGGGCCAUCUCACAAAUCCCUGGCUCUGAACUAACAGGCAGGUCCCUCCUCAGGCUCCAGUUUAAGUGCUUUGCUUGUGUUGCCUUUUACUCCUCCAGUGAGCCAGAGCGGGAGGACCUACUAGUAUACCCACUUCUUAGAGGAGGAAAAUGAGGUAUUGAGAAAUCAGAUCGUCUUCCCAAGGUCACGGAGUGGGUCUGUGAUUCUCACUGAUGUGGGUGUAAUGCCAGGGGGAACACUUUUCACCAUUCUGCCACUCCGUCCUCCAGCUAUGAACAUAGAUUUCUAAAAACGUUAUAUACACCAGGGUUCAAGUUCUGGUAAAGGAAUCAGGGCCUCCCUCUCUCAGUGCCCCAAGUCAUAAAAGUUAUUAUGUAUAACAACAGCAUUUCACAAUCCCAACUCAGUCACAAGAUGAUGGCACAUUAGUUUGCGCUCCUCCCUCCUAACCCUGCUGUGCCACAGGGGAGCAAACUGGGACCCUAAGAAGUGGCAGCUUGCUCAAAGUCAUGAGGCUCGUCCCCUGAUAGUAGAGCCAGAAUCAGAAGCCAGUUCAGAAUUUCCCCACUCAGCACACAGAGUACAUUUUAGGAGUAAAUUAGGCAGCUAAAAUGUGAAAAGUAAUGGGGGCUUAGUCACAUGAUCCUUGCUAUUGAAGACAGUCCCAAGACCACUGCCCAGAAUUAAACUAUAAAAUCAAAUGUAUUUUCCAAACACAUGCAAGAUGCCUGCCCUCCUCCAGAGGUGAAAGGUGGCCAGGUAAGCCAGACUGGGCACCUCCUAGGGCACUCAAGAUCAGGGGAGGACAUGUGCCAGAACAAGUCCAUUGGCUGAUGGGUGGCCCAUGAGGACUUCCUCCAGUGGGGCAAAGUAUUGAAUCCAUCAGACUGGCUUCCUGCAGUGGGCUGGACAAUUUGUAGAGGACUGGACAACAGAGAAAGAGACACAGGGCUGGGGUAGGGGGCAGGAGAGAAGACCCUGUCCCCAGAGCAGCCUUGGGUCCUGGCAGCUUUCCCUCCUCACUCUUCAU
ensembl:lncRNA